UUUUUUACAGCAUUUCCGUUGUCCAAUCGUGGUAGUAAAGGAAUCUAGUAAACAUUUGGAUUAUAGUUUACAAGUACAGAAGGUGUCAUUGAUAUUGGCGGUACGUUUUCAUACUUUAUAUUAUAACCUAACAAAACUGAACAUACCAAGAUGCGUAGCGAAAUUCCUCAAAUAAAUUCUAUAUAAUACCUAGCCUCUUCCGCAGGCAUCUCGUGGUACUUACUUAGAACAGUGAACUAUAUACAGUUCUGUUGUAUAGUUCAGUGACUUAGAAUCGGUGAAUCUUAGAAUCUCUCCCGAAUUUUCUCCCUGCACAGUAGCCCAAUCAGAAAACAUCAGUUAUUCAAUAACUAAAUUAAGA